UGAUAGAAAUUUAAACACUUUUUAAAGUAUCAAUUGGAGGGCAAGUCUGGUGCCAGCAGCCGCGGUAAUUCCAGCUCCAAUAGCGUAUAUUAAAAUUGUUGCAGUUAAAAAGCUCGUAGUUGAAUUUCUGUUAAAAAUAACCGGUCUGCUUUUAUUAAAAGUGGUAUCUUGGUGUGUUUUUAGCAAUAAUGUCCUUUGAAAUGUUUUUUACUUUAUUGUAAUAAGUCAUUAUUUUGAGGAUUUUUACUUUGAGAAAAUUAGAGUGUUUCUAGCAGGCUUACGCUUUUGAAUACUGCAGCAUGGAAUAAUAAGAUAGGAUUUUAGUUCUACAUUAUUGGUUUUAAGAACUAAAUUAAUGAUUGAUAGGGAUAGUUGGGGGCAUUUGUAUUUAACUGUCAGAGGUGAAAUUCUUAGGUUUGUUAAAGACAAACUACUGCGAAAGCAUUUGCCAAAGAUGUUUUCAUUAAUCAAGAACGAAAGUUAGGGGAUCGAAG
rnacentral:rRNA from 1 species